UACGAAGGGUGCAAGCGUUAAUCGGAAUUACUGGGCGUAAAGCGUGCGUAGGUGGUUUCUUAAGUCUGCUGUGAAAGCCCUGGGCUCAACCUGGGAAUGGCGGUGGAUACUGAGGAGCUAGAGUGCGGUAGAGGAGGGUGGAAUUCCCGGUGUAGCGGUGAAAUUCGUAGAUAUCGGGAGGAACACCAGUGGCGAAGGCGGCGAUCUGGGAAGAUACUGACGCUGAGGUGCGAAAGCGUGGGGAGCAAACAGG
rnacentral:rRNA from 1 species